CUUGAACUCCUGAGAUCAAGUGAUCUUCCCACUUCAGUCUCCGAAAGUGCUGGGAUUACAGCAUCUCUUCGAAGAUUUCCCUGGGGAGAAGCACUGUGUUUACCCAGAAGGGAGUCGGGUUCCCCAGGAGCUCUCGGGGAUCAUUCCCCAGCGAUGGGGAAGACAGCAGGAUGCCGGAGGACUUGGGGCCUUAUUGAUGAGAUGCGGACACACAGCAAAGAGCACGUUUUCCCCACCUUUUCCUGUCAGUAACCUGUCCUUCAAGUUUUUGCCUGGACAUCACCUCCUCCAGGAAACCUUCCCUGAACACCACCCAGCCUCCACCUGCUGCGGUUGGAUUACUCAUUCUGUCAUAUAAGAAAACCGAGGCUCAGAAUGGAAGUUCAUUGCUCAACAUCAAACACCCAGGAAAUGAUGGCGCCUGAAUGGGAGCUCAACUUCCAACGUGGCCCAUCCCUUGCUGACCUCACUGGGUCUGUCUUAUGACAGUAUGAGGUGAGUGAACUUGAGAGGAAUUGUUGAGAGCUGGGUGGGGAAAGAAGGGAGGUGUUAGGCUGUGGGGAGUGGAAGACUUUGAAAAGAAAGAAAUUCCUAACUCUAACCCUUCUCUGGUGACCUUUGUGGUUUGCCAUCUCCGCAUUCCUUGAAUGCCCAUUUACUGGAUAUUUUGCUCCAGAUUGACCUGCUCUGCAAAAAUCUUCAAUAAAUAAAUCCUUUUG